rnacentral:tRNA from 1 species
UGGGCGUAUAGCUCAGUUGGUAGAGCUCCUGUCUUACACACAGGCGGUCAUAGGUUCGAGUCCUUUUGCGCCCAAC